GAAAUCUAUAUUAUUAUUAUAAUAUCGAAAUGUCGUGUAUAGGUUUUAUAAUUUAUUUAAUAGUUUAUUUAUUAAAUAAUUGUAUUUAAAUAUACAGCCACAGAAGGUGCAAGCCCUGUUUUUUAAUAAAUACUAUUAAAUUAUAUAAAACUUUAGAGUCGUGUUGCUUGGAAGUGCAGCACAAAGUUGGUGAUAAACAUCAUCUAAGGCUAAAUAUUCCUAUGAAUCCGAUAGCGAACAAGUACUGUGAAGGAAAAUUGCAAAGUACUCCGGAGAGAGAGUUAAAGAGGACGUGAAACCGAUACGAUGGAAGCAUACAGAGCCAGUUGUACUAUUAUUAAAUAAUAAAUAUAUUAUAUUUAUUUUUUAAUAAUUUUAAGCAUGGGUCUAUUGAUAUUAUAAAUUAUAUAUAUAAAAAAGAGUAAUAAAAAUUAAUAAUUUUUGUUAACUUUUUUAUAAUAUAUUAUAUUUAUAUUUAAUAGUUAUAAAUAUGUUAAUUGUUCUAAUAUUUAUAUAUAAUAUUAAUGUUAUAUUUAAGCACAUGUGUUUAUAUAUAAUUUAUAUAUUAAUAUUUAUAUAAUAUAUUGUAAAUUAACUAACCUAUGUAA
rnacentral:rRNA from 1 species